UUUUACAAAUGACUCCAUUGCCAAUGAAUUCCAUGUUGGACAAGCAAUCAAAAAGUGAAGCUAUCUCAAAAAAAGCAAGAAGAAAAGCAUGCCAGCUGUACAUUUCCCCCCAACUAAGCCAGCUGAAGUAUCACCUGUCCAAGAAAUAAUCACUAAUCAGAGAAAUGAGAGAGCAGCACCUCGAUGCACUGUGUGCAAGAAUUGGAUGAAAGGCCAUAAAAUAUAAUGAACUGUCCAAAAAACCAAAAGUAACCAGUUUUUUAGGACCUGGUGGUAUGAGCCCAGUUAGUUGGGAUUCAGUGAAGUGUGAAUUGACUGCAUGGACAGAAUAAAGAGAAAGGAAUUGUAAUUUUGUAUGUUUUGUAUAACAAGUAUAAUUGUGAAUCGAAGAUGCAAUAAAUCAAGAGUGGCUUAAAUCAUUCCACACUUCACUGAAUCCCUACUAGCUGGGCUCAUGCAAACAACACCUAAAAUAAUAUAUAAUGUUAUGUUAUUUUACAAAUUGUCCUCUUCAUACUCUGCAAAGUGUUCAUUUCUUUUUAAAUUAAAAGUUUUUCGAAUAACAUGGUAAGCACAAGCUGGAAGUGGAAUUCUUUUGUCUCGAAGAAUGCCAUGUACCAUUCUUGUAAAUUGUCUAUAUGCAACAACUCGAAAAAACCUGAAAAGGCAUAAUACACAAGGUCCAUUAAAACAGAAUCCUUUAUGAUAUCUAACUCCAUCUUGUCUUUGGUAAAGAUUGGCAGCUAAAUUUAAUGCCCAUCGAUUGAGGCAAAUGGCAUCAAAUCCUGGAUGCUCUGUUAUGCAUUUUGGCUGCCUUCCUAAUUCGGAUACCACCAUAUGAUCUUGCAUUUCAAUCAUGAAAUUGGCAAUUUCGUGGCAGCAUCUACAUUCUUUGGAUUAACCAAGAGAGGAACACGGCAGUUACCACAAUGGCACCUACGAAAGUUAUCUGUCAAAAGCUUCGGCAACAAUAAAUAAACAAAUUUUCCAACUUUUCUUACCAA